rnacentral:rRNA from 1 species
AUCCGUCGUCAAGAGGGAAACAACCCAGACUACCAGCUAAGGUCCCUAAAUCUUACUUAAGUGGAAAACGAUGUGAAGUUACUUAAACAACCAGGAGGUUGGCUUAGAAGCAGCCAUCCUUUAAAGAAAGCGUAAUAGCUCACUGGUCUAGUGAUUUUGCGCGGAAAAUAUAACGGGGCUAAAGUAAGUACCGAAGCUGUAGACUUAGUUUACUAAGUGGUAGGAGAGCGUUCUAUUUGCGUCGAAGGUAUACCGGUAAGGAGUGCUGGAGCGAAUAGAAGUGAGCAUGCAGGCAUGAGUAGCGAUAAUUAAUGUGAGAAUCAUUAACGCCGUAAACCCAAGGUUUCCUACGCGAUGCUCGUCAUCGUAGGGUUAGUCGGGUCCUAAGUCGAGUCCGAAAGGGGUAGACGAUGGCAAAUUGGUUAAUAUUCCAAUACCAACAUUAGUGUGCGAUGGAAGGACGCUUAGGGCUAAGGGGGCUAGCGGAUGGAAGUGCUAGUCUAAGGUCGUAGGAGGUUGUACAGGCAAAUCCGUAUAACAAUACUCCGAGAACUGAAAGGCUUUUUGAAGUCUUCGGAUGGAUAGAAGAACCCCUGAUGCCGUCGAGCCAAGAAAAGUUUCUAAGUUUAGCUAAUGUUGCCCGUACCGUAAACCGACACAGGUGGGUGGGAUGAGUAUUCUAAGGCGCGUGGAAGAACUCUCUUUAAGGAACUCUGCAAAAUAGCACCGUAUCUUCGGUAUAAGGUGUGGUUAGCUUUGUAUUAGGAUUUACUCCGAAAGCAAGGAAACUUACAACAAAGAGUCCCUCCCGACUGUUUACCAAAAACACAGCACUCUGCUAACUCGUAAGAGGAUGUAUAGGGUGUGACGCCUGCCCGGUGCUCGAAGGUUAAUUGAUGGGGUUAGCAUUAGCGAAGCUCUUGAUCGAAGCCCGAGUAAACGGCGGCCGUAACUAUAACGGUCCUAAGGUAGCGAAAUUCCUUGUCGGUUAAAUACCGACCUGCAUGAAUGGCGUAACGAGAUGGGAGCUGUCUCAAAGAGGGAUCCAGUGAAAUUGUAGUGGAGGUGAAAAUUCCUCCUACCCGCGGCAAGACGGAAAGACCCCGUGGACCUUUACUACAGCUUGACACUGCUACUUGGAUAAGAAUGUGCAGGAUAGGUGGGAGGCUUUGAGUAUAUGACGCCAGUUGUAUAUGAGCCAUUGUUGAGAUACCACUCUUUCUUAUUUGGGUAGCUAACCAGCUUGAGUUAUCCUCAAGUGGGACAAUGUCUGGUGGGUAGUUUGACUGGGGCGGUCGCCUCCCAAAUAAUAACGGAGGCUUACAAAGGUUGGCUCAGAACGGUUGGAAAUCGUUCGUAGAGUAUAAAGGUAUAAGCCAGCUUAACUGCAAGACAUACAAGUCAAGCAGAGACGAAAGUCGGUCUUAGUGAUCCGGUGGUUCUGUGUGGAAGGGCCAUCGCUCAAAGGAUAAAAGGUACCCCGGGGAUAACAGGCUGAUCUCCCCCAAGAGCUCACAUCGACGGGGAGGUUUGGCACCUCGAUGUCGGCUCAUCGCAUCCUGGGGCUGGAGCAGGUCCCAAGGGUAUGGCUGUUCGCCAUUUAAAGCGGUACGCGAGCUGGGUUCAGAACGUCGUGAGACAGUUCGGUCCCUAUCUGCCGUGGGCGUAAGAAGAUUGAAGAGAUUUGACCCUAGUACGAGAGGACCGGGUUGAACAAACCACUGGUGUAGCUGUUGUUCUGCCAAGAGCAUCGCAGCGUAGCUAAGUUUGGAAAGGAUAAACGCUGAAAGCAUCUAAGCGUGAAGCCAACUCUAAGAUGAAUCUUCUCUAAGCUCUCUAGAAGACUACUAGUUUGAUAGGCUGGGUGUGUAAUGGAUGAAAGUCCUUUAGCUGACCAGUACUAAUAGAGCGUUUGGCUUAUCUUUAAUAAAGCAU